rnacentral:rRNA from 1 species
GACGAACGCUGGCGGCGUGCUUAACACAUGCAAGUCGAACGGAAAGGCCCUGCUUUUGUGGGGUGCUCGAGUGGCGAACGGGUGAGUAACACGUGAGUAACCUGCCCUUGACUUUGGGAUAACUUCAGGAAACUGGGGCUAAUACCGGAUAGGAGCUCCUGCUGCAUGGUGGGGGGUGGAAAGUUGCGGCGGUUUGGGAUGGUAACGCGGCUUAUCAGCUUGUUGGUGGGGGAGUGGCUUACCAAGGCGUGGACGGGUAGCCGGCCUGAGAGGGUGACCGGCCACAGUGGGCCUGGGAUGCGGCCCAGGCUCCUACGGGAGGCAUCAGUGGGGAAUAUUCCACAAUGGGCGGAAGCCGGAUGCAGCAACGCCGCGUGCGGGAUGACGGCCUUCGGGUUGUAAACCGCUUUCGCCUGUGACGAAGCGUGAGUGACGGUAAUGGGUAAAGAAGCACCGGCUAACUACGUG